rnacentral:tRNA from 1 species
GCGCCCGUGGCGGAACUGGUAGACGCACAAGAUUUAGGUUCUUGCGGGAAACCGUGGGGGUUCAAGUCCCUCCGGGCGCACCA